AACAGGUACCUCAUGUGUGGAGAGUGGCAUGGGUUCAUAUGUGACAGAUGAACAUGUAUCUUAUUUAAUGAUACAUAUUACAGAGAAAGUUGGGGACAUAAAAGGAAAUAAACAUUAUUUACUAAUAGUGGGAGGUGAAAACAAAACUCAUCAACGUGUCUCACUCUGUCGUGAUUUUGCAGUGCAGUGACACGAUC